GACGAACGCUGGCGGCGUGCUUAACACAUGCAAGUCGAACGGAAAGGCCCUGCUUUUGUGGGGUGCUCGAGUGGCGAACGGGUGAGUAACACGUGAGUAACCUGCCCUUGACUUUGGGAUAACUUCAGGAAACUGGGGCUAAUACCGGAUAGGAGCUCCUGCUGCAUGGUGGGGGUUGGAAAGUUUCGGCGGUUGGGGAUGGACUCGCGGCUUAUCAGCUUGUUGGUGGGGUAGUGGCUUACCAAGGCUUUGACGGGUAGCCGGCCUGAGAGGGUGACCGGCCACAUUGGGACUGAGAGACGGCCCAGACUCCUACGGUAGGCAGCAGUGGGGAAUAUUGCACAAUGGGCGGAAGCCUGAUGCAGCAACGCCGCGUGCGGGAUGACGGCCUUCGGGUGGUAAACCGCUUUCGCCUGUGACGAAGCGUGAGUGACGGUAAUGGGUAAAGAAGCACCGGCUAACUACGUG
rnacentral:rRNA from 1 species